GAAGCGGCAACAGCUCAAAUUUGAAAUCUGGCGCAAGCCCGAGUUGUAAUUUGUAGAGGAUGCUUCUAGGCAGCGGCCGUUCUAAGUUCCUUGGAACAGGACGUCAUAGAGGGUGAGAAUCCCGUAUGUGACCGGCACGCACCUUGUACGUAGCUCCUUCGACGAGUCGAGUUGUUUGGGAAUGCAGCUCUGAAUGGGAGGUAAAUUUCUUCUAAAGCUAAAUACCGGCUGGAGACCGAUAGCGCACAAGUAGAGUGAUCGAAAGAUGAAAAGCACUUUGGAAAGAGAGUUAAAAAGCACGUGAAAUUGUUGAAAGGGAAGCGCCUGCAACCAGACUUCGCGGCAGUGUUCCGCCGGUCUUCUGACCGGUCUAUUCUCUGUCGCGAGGCCAUCAUCGUCUGGGGCCGCCGGAUAAGACUGGAGGAAUGUAGCUCCCCUCGGGGAGUGUUAUAGCUUCCAGUGAUGCGGCGUGUCUCGGGCGAGGUCCGCGCUUCGGCAAGGAUGAUGGCGUAAUGGUUGUCGGCGGCCCGUCUUGAAACACGGACCAAGGAGUCUAACAUCUAUGCGAGUGUUCGGGUGUCAAACCCCUACGCGUAAUGAAAGUGAACGGAGGUGGGAACUUUUUGUGCACCAUCGACCGAUCCUGAUGUCCUCGGAUGGAUUUGAGUAAGAGCAUAGCUGUUGGGACCCGAAAGAUGGUGAACUAUGCCUGAAUAGGGUGAAGCCAGAGGAAACUCUGGUGGA
rnacentral:rRNA from 1 species